rnacentral:rRNA from 1 species
CCCGGUGGCUUUACCAGAGGGGAAACACCCGUUCCCAUUCCGAACACGGAAGUUAAGCCCUCUAAGGCCGAUGGUACUUUCCUCGCAAGGGGAUGGGAGAGUAGGUCGCUGCCGGGC